AGCAAGCACACAGAGCAGUUAGUCCAGUGCCAAGUGUAAAUAUGGUGACAUACUGUAUGUAAAAGUCAUUCAGAAUGGGAGUUUGUGUACAUAAAACAACACAAAGAUAAACAGUCAUUGCAAAUUACGACUUGUAAGCCACUCCUGUGUCCUGUCAGUGUCUCCACAUCAACAUCGUGUACAUAAGAGAUAGAUUCACGGAUAGAAACAGAAAGAAAAAGGCAAUCACCCACUACUAUCAAGCACUACUGUAUCUGUUGAUGUCAUUUCAGUCACAUUUCUGCUGCAGAUCUCAUUGGAAUAUUUCAGCACAGUAAUAUCUACAUUUCAGUAGUUGUUGGACAAUUCUCUCACUCCAACAGCUGCCUCAGGCUCUUUAUGCAGGUCUCUGUCACUAUCAUCCUCUGCUGCACCGACAAUGUAACAUCACUUACUGUAGUCUGUAACAUUCUCUUGUCUAAUAUCUCCAUGACUGUCACAUCCCCAUGACCACCUAUCACAUUAGUCAUGGACCGUUUUUGCUUUAGAAAGAUGUUUUUUUAGCGUCUAACUUUAUAUCAAACCAUUGCCUCUUUGUUUCUGUCACAGUGUCACUCAGACAUGUCAUUGGCAGCUGUACUAUUAAUAUUUCCUAAUUGUUUCGGGUCACUAAUACCACUACUGACACUAAAUGUUUUUGUCUGGUGAUUUCUGAAAGCAGGAUCUGAAAGCAAGUCUUUUUUUUACUCCUUGGUAACAUUUCUGUGAAUGAAACCUGGCCACAAACGCAGCAGAACAGGCAGCCUUAUAUGGCAAUUUUGGGGUGUAGAUUAUGCUAAUGAUCAAAUCUCAUGAACGUGCACCUCCUCAUGAACAAGUGGCAUUCAUCAGGCAGAAAAAAGUAAGAGAGAGUUAGGAUAAGAAUACGAAAAUGUUCUUGCUUGAGGCCCAUUUUCUAGACACCACCUUAACUCUCACUUUUAGUGUCUAGAACCAUUUAGAAGUCAUGAGGAAAGUAACUUAUUUGCGGACCUAAGUGAAAAUGAACUGUUAUUACAACCUUUCGUCAGAUCAGUAUCAGACCUCACAUCAACAAACAUUCUUCUUCUUCUGCCAUAACAACUGAGCUGGCCGCCGAGUGGAUGUUCGUGGGUGGAGGUUUGUUGGGUGGCCUGAUAUAUCCCCCGUCCCGACGACAGACACAUGAAGGGGAUACACGAUUGCUUUGGUUGAGGCCUGUGAAGCCUGGCUGUUUCCUGGUAAAUAAACUACGAUGGAGGGCUGCAGGACUGUUUGGAGCUCCACUGUGUGCAGCUGAGAGGGAUAUUACCUCCCUGGGGAAAAAAGGAAAACUUCAACCAACUGAAGCACAAUGAUGGACCCGUUACAUUGCAGAAAGCUAGCGAGUCUUUCAUCUCCUUUACAGGAUGGGAACUAUAAAUGUGGAGCACGUUCAACAUUUCAACAUCCACAGAGAGGGCAAACCAUUAAAACAAAAGCUGUCCUUUCAUGUUCCACAAAAAAAAGGAGCCACAUAUAUGAUCACCUGUCCUUGCAGUAAAGUAUACAUUGGAAAAACUUCACGUGAACUCAAAAAGAGAAUGGCAGAGCAGCGGAGCACCAUUUGCUGUAAAAUGUAACAUAUCCUGUUUCCACUUAUCUUGUAGAGGAAAAUCAUCCAACAUCAUCUUUAAGAUAUAAAGGAAAUGAGAAGAUUAAAGAGAGGAGAAGCUCAUGGACAAUCUGUUGCUGAAAAGGGAGGUCUACUGUUUUUUAAGUUUGAAACUUAUAAUCUAAAACAUAUACAUGUAAAUAAAUUGUAAAUUGGUAUGAUGUUUUGAAUAACUAAAAGGAGGAACUGGGUAAUUAGCCUGAGCAUAAAACAAAAAAGCACCCUCAAAUGUAAAAAUAAAAAGUCACAGUACUAUAAUCCAGCCGUGACGUCUUGUGUCCUUUAAGUUCACCAGAAUGCAAAGUAAAAAUAAAAAGCAAGAAUCCCUAUGAUCACCACUUUGAAGGUAUUGGAUGUCAAAAUAAUGGCUGACUUGCAUCGAGAUACCUUUGUAAAGAAGCAAACAUGGAUCUUUUUUCUGUAUGAUGCGAGAAAGAUUAAGACAGUGUCUUGAAACGUCUGUCAGCUCUGUGGUUAUACAUGUGUAUUGUGUGUGCAUGUGAAAGCAGAGACCCUUGUGCAAUUCGAGGGGGAUAUCAGAGUCGGUCGGCCAGAUGGCUUUAAUGUUGCCACCAGCCUAUGAAAGCGGUGCAACGUAGAGAUCUGGAGCAAAAAACAAACAUAUAGGAGCCGAGAGCUCAGCGCAGGCCACCGCCGACACACUGCGUGGCACUGACUGCUACGAGCUAGAUGAGAAACAUAUUGUA